UAUUACCAGCAAGAAGGGGUGGGGGGGAAAGGAAGAAAACCUUUUGUGGUGAUAAUCAAGGUGGGCCAUCACCUUCAGCCCCCAACUAAAACCUCUCCAACGCAUCAUCAAGGAUUUCCUUCUUUAGCCAUCCUGAUGAAACACCACGUUCAGUGGCGGGAAGAGGGUAGCGUUUUAUGUGCAUCUGAUUCUCCCUUGAAGUACCAAAAUGCCUAGGCACGCCUUUGACCCAGUAGAGAAAUAAUGAAAAGGGCAGAGAAGUGCAAGGAUGUUUUAGGAAGCAGGACCUGAUCCUCAAAGGUACUUCACUUUUAUUGACAUUGAUGCCAGUUAGGAGCCUAAAUACCUUUGAAAAUCUGGGUCCAGGACUUCAAUUUUAAUCCCUUUUUUAUUGUCUCUGCAGAGGGAAGCUGUUACAUGCUAAUGAUGGCUGCUAAUAACAAUCUCCCCGUGUUGGUGUCAGGAAGGUUUGCACAUGGUAUGAUUCAGGGUGUUAUAUGUCAGUUUUCACACACAAUAAACAUGAUGGUCUGUUGCAAAGGAGCUAAUGCAAAAGGCUGUUCCAUAGCACUAACAGAUUUCUCCAUAUUAGUGGCUAAAAUGCUUCCCUUUGUUUCUAUUGCACCAGGGAUGCUGUGUUCUUCACUUCCUUUUUUGAGACAUGCAUGAUGUUGCUCUGUUCUGUUAAACCUUUGCUGUGCUCUGUCUUACCAGUGGCCGCACCACAGUCAUGUGUGUAUGUACUAUAACUAUACAGCUAUAUUUAAAAUGCAGGAGUCAUGAACUUUAAAUUAAACCCUACAUGAGUGUCUCUCUUUACAUAAAAUGUUUCUGUCCUUCCUUUCGCUUCCAUUCUUUAAACUGUCCCCUGGUCAUCUUCCACCCCCCGUCUGGGCUUUCUGGGAGGCUGCAGAACAGGGAGAUGUUUAUCCUCUCAGCAUUCCUGCCAUCUAGUAAUAACACUUAGUACUUUGUGGUUACAAAGCAAAGGCUGAACAGAAGAGACCAACACCAUUCGCAAAACUCUGUGCAAUCUGUCCUGUGAUGUAGGUAAAUAAAUAUCCCCAUUUUACAGAUUGGAAAACAGCUGCUAUUAGUCCUGAUCUGGCCAGGACCUCAGGCUUUUACUGCCCUGUCCUGGAAAUUACAGUUCUAGCCUGUGGCCUGGAGCUUCUGGAAAGCUCACCUGCAGUUAUGGUGUCCUGCCACAAGGAGCUGCUGUGCCUGGCAGUGUGGCUCAUUCCCUCACAUCAGCUGCUCCCUUGUGAGCGUAGAGGAGAUGAAUCCGAGUCUGAGCAGUUGCCUCUGUCUUGUCAUUCAAUGCAGCUGCAGCCGUAGGGAUCAUGGGAGCCAGGGGGCAUGGGAGCCAGGGGGACCCAAUGGGAUAGGAGGAGGGAAAGGCAGGUAGAAUGGCAACACCAAAGAGGAAAGCCCUCAGCCCUCCCCUAUAGCUAGAGGAAAUGAAUGGUGGAAACAUGAGGCCUCCAGGAGACAAGCCUGAGAAUGUGCUUCUCCCCACCCACCCCAGAGAGCAAGAGUGCCAGGGAGAGGCCACAUCCAUCCCUCCAUCUCACCUCGUUCUUCAGGAGAAAUGCUCUUUAAGGAUGCCGGGGAGUGAGCCAGGCCUGCCGUCCUUCCAUGGAGAUUCUGGAGUAAGGGAAUAGCACUAGCAGCCCACUGGGCAGCUGCUUCCUAUCUUCAGGUAGGAGGGAGGUUGGGAAUUUGGCACGGGAUUCUGGUGCUGCUCCCUACAGUGUCAGAGGAAUAUGUCAAUUUCUAAGUGCUGAUUCAAACCCCAAAACUUCCAAGACCCUGAUGAUUAAGAUAUUUGUCAUAAAACUAAAUUAAAAUGCACUAGGCUCUGCUCACAACCCUCUGGCAGCUCAUGGCACUUUUAGGCUUUUAUGCAGGAGUGUCCCUGGAGCUAUCUUUUAAACAUCGGUAACCAUGAGGAAGCACACAGCCGUUUCUGCCAGUGGGUAGAGCAGCUGCGGUUGAUGGGGAAGUAAAAGGUGACCCUGUCCUACAUGCCUCCUUUCCGUGGGAAGAUCCAUCUCCUGCCAGCUCCUCUUCCAUGGGAGAACCCUGCUCCCUUCCCCUACACCAGCUCUGUCUUCCCCCCAGGGAGAAGGACAGAUAAAGAAUACACAAAACAGAAGGUUUUUGCAUAAAACCUUUUUUAAAAAUCAACUUAACAUAGUCUAAAAUGCACCAGCACUUUCCAAGGAAGAUGCCCCCAGACUUCCUAGGCUUGUUUGUGUUACAUCAACACAGAUUCUCUAUCCUGCUGGACACAGAGAUCGGAGAACUACCGAUGUGCCCAAACCAGUUCUGCACAAGGAGCACAGGCAGGCUGAUGGGGCCUCCGUGGGGAGGGGGAAAGGGGAGGAACUUCUUUUGGCUACAUUUGUUCCCUUUCCCCUACUGCAGGGCAGGGCGCUGCUGCUUCUCCACUUAACACCCAGACCUGUGGUGACAAGAGAGUUGGUGAGCUCCCACUCUUGCUUUGAUCAGCUUUAACCACUGGUUCAGAGCACAUGGCCCUGCACAGAUAACUGGCUCCACAGGCCUGGCUAACAGAGCAGAGUCACCGUUCAUGAAGUGUUACAGGGUGCACAUGCUGGAGCAUGUUUUCUAAUGUUUAUAUAACUGUGUUGUUUCUUUUAUCUGAAUUUUUAAGCAAAUUGCCAGAGCCCUUUCUGAUCAUUAGGGACGCUGCUUAAGCCAAGUUUAAUCUUUCAAAGUUUAGCCAGUGUUGAGUGAUGCUGGAAAAGAAACAGUUGCAACAGGCCAACAUAUUUUCUUUGUAUGGUUGUGCAAAAAUGGCUUUUUUUUCACUCUCCCAUAAUUCAGAAAUGACUGAAUAGGUUUGGCCCAAAUUUUCCAGCAAUAUUCACCUGUGAAGAGAAACCAAGCAUAGCAAAUUUCAGCCCACAAAAUGAAUGUUUUGGAAAGUUAUGAUUGUCUGAAAAUAAGAUGGGGGGGAAUAUAAUGCAAACUACUUUGCAACUUUUAACUAUUAUAAGUGUGAUCAGUGGCCGCUAGAAUAUAUUUGUACAGUGCUUUGAGUCCCUUCAUGAUGAAUGGGGCUAUUACAAAUCAAAUAAUUUCAUGGCUAGACAAUCUGUCCUGCAGCAACAUUGUAACUUGGGUAUAGGGUUAGUGCUUCCAGCAAGGCAAUGAUAAACAGGGGUGAAAUAUUCUCUGCAGGAGGCUAAGAGUGACUCAGGGUUCCUACAGAAAAGCACCUCCCACUGCUCGGAGCAACAUAUGUGAAAAAUGAGAACACACAGCACCAGAGGCUGGCCUGGGUUAGCACAUCCUCCUCUCUGACGGCAAGAGCUCAGCUCUGCAGGGGACAGAGGGGAUUAUCCACAAUGUAAAUCAUGCAGAUAAAAAAACACCCAGAAAAAAACAUGCAAAGUCCUUGUUGUCCUUCAACUCACUGAUUGCCAGAAAUUCCUCAGGUAGCUGUUGAGAUGUGAGGGGUUAUUGUUUUGCAUUAUGAUUUUUACAGUCUGGCCAGUGGCAGGAAACAACCAAAUAAAAUCUCCUGUUAGUUCUUCUUUCUUCAUAGCAGGGCUUCAGCCACAAGUCUUUGGCCUAGCUGUGGUCUAGCGUUCAUGCUCUUUGCUACCAUGAAGGAGUCAUUUUCCGGGUCUGGUCUCUUCCUGCCAAGGCCAGCAGGGUCUUGGCCUGCUUCGCUGGGAAGGCCUGAUAGCCUUGGGGUUAAGGCUUAGCACUGCUAUGCAGGCCGAUUCAGGCGUUAUUCCCAGUCCACCUCUCUUUGGCAGGAGGUGGGUGUGCUGCACAGAAAGCAUGCUGGGGGGAGGUGUUUCUUUUCCAGUUGGGGUGGUUGUAGACUAAUAUUGGUGAAGUCCUUGGCCAGAAAGAUGUAGCCCUUUUGAGAGGGACCCUCAGAACUCCAUUAAGAAAUACCCCAAACCCACUCAGUGGCAGGGAAUUACGUGGGCAGCUGCCUGUAUGUGUGUGACCUGGAAAUCUCUUGAUGCCAAUUGGCAGAGGUUAUGCGGUGCAGAGUUUUACAGGGAACCCCUUGGUCAGUUAUAUACAUACUAAUUCACUAAAGGGUGGCCUAUGAGGUCUCUGCUCAGAGCCAGUAACACACUGGGCAUCAUAAUCCCUGCAAAAUGUAUGUAUGGAUUAUAUGUGAGGAGUUAUGCACCUAUACUAGAAAUUAUGUUCUUAAGGUCAGUGAGUUAAAUCAGGUCACCAAGAGUGACAAAUGUCUUCCUUUCAGACAGGCAGGAGAUGUUUAUCUAUCUGCCUAGUUAUAUUCAAACUGAGCAUUGUCUACUUCAGUGGUUCUCUACCUGUGGUAUGUAUACUCCUGGGGAUACGCAGAGAUCUUCCAGGGGGCAUAUCAACUCUUCUAGCUAUUUGCCUAGUUUUAUAACAGGCUAUGUAAAAAGCACUAGCGAAGUCAGUACUAACUAAAAUUUCAUACGACCUGUUUAUACUGCUCUAUAUACUAUACAGUGAAAUGUAAGUACGAUAGUUAUAUUCUAAUUGAUUUGUUUUAUAAUUGUAUUGUAAAAAUGAGAGCUUAAGCAAUUUUUCAGUAAUAGUGUGCUCUGACACUGGUAUUUUUAUGUCUGGUUUUGUAAGCAAGUAGUUUUUAAGUGAGGUGAAACUUGGGGGUACACAAGACAAAUCAGACUCCUUAAAUGGGUACAGUAGUCUGGAAAGAUUGAGAGCCACAGGUCUACUUCACAAUGGAUAUCUAUGUGCAUACGGAGCCACCACCUACUCAAAAUUAAGUAAUUAACAAGCGAUUACAAAAUCUACAGGAAGGAACAAACAGCAGGAGUGUGUCGGUUUAUGGAUAAAAGAGAACAGAAUUGUUUUGACGUAUCUGGGGUUGCAAAGGGCCACCCUGGUGUGCUUCCCCAGGGAGACAAGCUGCCAGCUGGCUUGUUUUAUAAAAGGUAGAUCACAGCCGGUCUGGAUGUUUGAAGCAGGGAAAGGAACUUUGGGUGAAUUAACCUUUUCCAGAGAGGGGAAUGCCUUAUUAGUUAAGUUUAGGCUCUAGUGUACAUGUUAUUCUUUUAUAUGUAAUCCUUUGUUUCCAGUAUUUCUGCUCGCUGUCAUUUGAGUCUCUGUUCUUUGUUAAAUAAACAUAGACUUGGUUUUACUAUAAACAGAUCUCAAUGCUG